AUACCUAAUAACCCAGUAUAACUUUAUUGUAUGUAAGCAUUACUUACUUUUUCUGUAGCGAAGUAUCUCUGGCCUACUGUGUAUUGGGGGAAAAUCAAUGCAAUUGAUUUGCAUUUAAUUGUUGUCUAUUUUUAGUGGCAGUGAUUUUGGCUGACGGAAACAAAAGCGACCGACCGAGCGGCCAACAACGAGGAAGAUCCCAUGGCCGCUUUUGGCCACUGAAAGUGGAGCCGACUCGAGAGCCCAGGGAGCAGCCAAGCAGCUCCAAGUCAAGUUCCUCCACACACCGCUGGGCAAGUGGUGGGAGCUAUUUGAUUUCACUGACCUCAAUUAUGGCUGCAGCCGAGAUGGUCCGAGGUUGGCCAGUAGGGAGAGCCGCGGACCUAAGGCUUCUGCUCUGCCGGACUAUUGAAUUAUUCAUUUUGAAAAUGGGUAGGAAACGAUGGUAGAAGUGAAACGCGCCAACAAAAGACCAUAAAAUGGUAUUGCCGGGGGAGCAGCGGACAAAUGGUAAAUGGCAAAUGGCAAACAGUAGCGACAACUUGCCUAAUUACAGCACAUACUCCGGCAUGGAUAUGCGACCUUCAAAACUUAGUAUACUCCAUAUCCUCAUCCUCUCUGUCUCUCUAGAAGCACUUAGCAGCUUGUCGGUGCUUAUGCAAUGGGUUUCUGCGUGGGAUUUGCAUUACUGAGCAUGGCCAGCUUUGGUUGUCAUGGAGUUUCGUAGCCAAAUAAUGCAAAGGAUUUCGACCAUGGAAUUGAGGUAAUUACUUAGCAGGUGCUGCUGGCAAGUGGAGGAUUACCUGGCAAGUGGAGCCCUUGCUUUCGCAGUUAUCUUGAAAUUAGUCACGUUUCCAGUGCUAAAUUUUAGACAUAUAAUUGUUUCUGGGGCUUAUCUAGAAAUGAACCAGUCACGGUUCCAUUCCACUCCGAUUCGGUUGUGCUUUAUAAAUAGGUCUAACAGGAUCGCACUUCUAACUAAGUAGCAAUGAAGCUCUUUCUACAUCUACUUCUCUUUACUCUAAUACUAUACUACGUCUCCGACGAUGAGAAGAUAAAUCGAAUUUUAAAAGUUAAAAGAAAACUUAUUACCAGUUAAAAUGUAAAAUUUGUAAUGUUUAAUAAUCAUUACAUUUAAAUAA